rnacentral:rRNA from 1 species
AGUGAACGCUGGCGGUAGGCCUAACACAUGCAAGUCGAACGGCAGCACAGUAAGAGCUUGCUCUUACGGGUGGCGAGUGGCGGACGGGUGAGGAAUACAUCGGAAUCUACUUUUUUGUGGGGGAUAACGUAGGGAAACUUACGCUAAUACCGCAUACGACCUACGGGUGAAAGCAGGGGAUCUUCGGACCUUGCGCGAUUGAAUGAGCCGAUGUCGGAUUAGCUAGUUGGCGGGGUAAGGGCCCACCAAGGCGACGAUCCGUAGCUGGUCUGAGAGGAUGAUCAGCCACACUGGAACUGAGACACGGUCCAGACUCCUACGGGAGGCAGCAGUGGGGAAUAUUGGACAAUGGGCGCAAGCCUGAUCCAGCCAUACCGCGUGGGUGAAGAAGGCCUUCGGGUUGUAAAGCCCUUUUGUUGGGAAAGAAAAGCAGCAGGUUAAUACCCCGCUGUUCUGACGGUACCCAAAGAAUAAGCACCGGCUAACUUCGUG